rnacentral:sRNA from 1 species
GGGAUACCGACCAGUCGGAGGAGAGGAAAUCGGGCACGUCCGAGGCGGAGGCGGAGACUCGGAACCGGGAAGCCGCCGCCGCCGCCGGCGGCAUCAGGGCCAGGAGCGUCGAUCUGAGACCUCCGCCGCCGCAGCGGCAGAUUGGGGCUGGCAGUAGAGCGACGGGUUUCGCGGCCGUGGGAGCGGACGACGCCAUGGCUGCCAUUACUCCGAUUUCCGUCUCUUUCCGCUGCUUCGUUUCUGUCUCCGGUUUAUUCAGGCCCGGAAAAUUUCACGCCGCUGAACUGAACUGACGCGUAGAAAAUCCUGAAUUUUCCUCUCGCGUCCAAAAAAGAGAGUUAACUUUCCUUGAGCCAAAGUUUUAUUUCGGAUUAUUUUUUUAAUCAUUUUACUUUGUACUAGAUAGCUUUUUUAUUUGUUACACAACGGAUCAUCUCAAACCACAUCUUUACCACUUAUGUCGGCGAACUUUCAUAUGUAUAUGCAUGUCAUAUAUUUAUGAAAGGAGACGCUAAAUAUAUCUAGCGAAUAUAGUUAAAGUGGUCCAU